rnacentral:rRNA from 1 species
CACGCCGUAAACGAUGAAUGCUAGGUGUUGGGGAAACUCAGUGCCGCAGUUAACACAAUAAGCAUUCCGCCUGGGGAGUACGACCGCAAGGUUGAAACUCAAAGGAAUUGACGGGGACCCGCACAAGCAGCGGAGCAUGUGGUUUAAUUCGAAGCAACGCGAAGAACCUUACCAGGUCUUGACAUCCUCUGACAAUCCCAGAGAUGGGACGUUUCCUUCGGGAACAGAGAGACAGGUGG